GGUGUGCCCAUGUGCAAGAAUUCAGUGUCCAUAUGGAAAAACUCCUCUGUGGAUCUUCUUGGAAGACUUGACACACAGUGAAUUUAAAAGGACGUCACUGAUUCUGAGUGAGAGACUGCAUCCAACUUUCCCCUUUGCGUGAGUCAUGGAUAAGCAUCUGGAUUGGAACAUCUACAAAGACUGUUCCAAACCAGCUUGUGUGCAUGAAUAUGAGAGACGAGAGAAGACACAAAUCAACUUACGUUAGGGUCAGAGACCAUGACAGACACUAAGAGCUUUUAAAGAAGACUCAUGCUAAGCAAGCACGGUCUGGUCUAUAAACCAUACAUUUGUGCCUGGGAAUCUCCCUACAUCAAAGGUUCUAGAACCUGCUUCAAAGGUGCAUCUUAAUAUAUUAAUUCCUUUGUAUCUUUGCUUUGGAUCACAUUGAGUAUUAAGAUGAUUCAUUUUCUAGCUCUUUUUUUUUCUUAACACCUUGCAUGGCUCAACUACAACUGCCACUAUUAAUUUCAGCCUAGUUAAGUAUUUGUUCAGUAUGUCCACAAACAGCUUCUCUACCAGGUCUCCUGUAGCCAGUUAAUGGUAAUGAGGCUUAUUGUUUCAAGUCCACAUUGGUGCAAGGCAAAUAUCCCUGAGCAUAUGACCAUGUCUAGAGAUGUGGUCAUGUUGUACAGAAUGGCAUAGAACUUUCACAGUGACUCUGAGUAAAGAAAAUAUUACAAAACAGCUAUACACAUGAUACAAAUAGAAAGGCUUCUAUUUUUGUUGUCUAAAUGGCUAAACACUUAGAUGGUUGGAAGUUAGAAUUGUACAAAUUAAGCUCCUUACAGAUAUUGGAUAGAUGCUUCUUCUCUUUUGUUAAUGAAAGUAAUUGGCUACAAGUUUAUUUCCAGUCAAAAGUGCACACUCCAGGGAUGAGCAUGGACUUCUCUGGACAGUCAGCACCUCUCUGAGGUUCUGUUUUGCAGUCUUUCUUUCUCUCUCAUUUUAUUACUCUUUCCCCAUCCUAAUUCUCUGGCCCUGCCUGUCUCUGUCAUGUGCACACACCUAGGAGAUGUUCAUGUAAAAGAGAAACAUUAUAAGAAUCAGUUGACUACAGUGUGUGAUGGAGGCUGUUGGGUUCUUGCAAUGGCUGCCUUUGGCAAUAGCUGCCAUGUGGAGGGCUCCUAGCUCCCCAUUUUCACUGGAAACCCAGCUCCCCCAGAGUUGUGACUGCUCAUCAACCAUGGCAGCUCAGAGAUAUGGCAAAACCUUCCUUGGUCUGUAAAUAUUGGCCCUUUCUAGCUUUCUCCCUGAAUACCGAAUACUUAUGGUGUAUAUACUGUUUGUUCCCUUACAGUGAAAGAUCCCAUCAAAAUUUGUUCAAUUUCAGCUGAAUAUAAUAACCUUUCCUCCAUGUUUAUAUGUAUGUAAUAAUCCCACCUCCCUGUUCGACUGUAUACAAUAAAUAUUCUGAAAUUCCA
rnacentral:lncRNA from 1 species